rnacentral:rRNA from 1 species
GAUGAACGCUGGCGGCGUGCCUAACACAUGCAAGUCGAACGGAAAGACAAUGAGCUUGUGCUUUUAACGGUGGCGGCGGGCGGGCGGGUAACGAGUGUAUCCGAACCUUCUCUUUCGGGGAGGAUUACGUAAGGAAGGCUACACUAAUAUAGCAUAUGUUGAACCGGUGGGAGCAAUGGAUAUUCUCGGCUUUUGCGUAUGGAUUAGCCGGUGCCGCAUUAGCUUGUUGGGUGGGUAAAGGCCCACCAAGGCAAGGAUACGUAGCGGGUCUGAGAGGAUGAUCGGCCACACUGGAACUGAGACACGGUCCAGACUCCUACGGGAGGCAGCAGUGGGGAAUCUUGGGCAAUGGGCGCAAGCCUGAUCCAGCCAUACCGCGUGGGUGAAGAAGGCCUUCGGGUUGUAAAGCCCUUUUGUUGGGAAAGAAAAGCAGCAGGUUAAUACCCCGCUGUUCUGACGGUACCCAAAGAAUAAGCACCGGCUAACUUCGUG